AUUGAACGCUGGCGGAAUGCUUUACACAUGCAAGUCGAACGGUAGAGGGGGCAACCCCUUGAGAGUGGCGAACGGGUGAGUAAUAUAUCGGAACGUGCCCAGUCGUGGGGGAUAACGUAGCAAAAGUUACGCUAAUACCGCAUACGAUCUAAGGAUGAAAGCGGGGGAUCGCAAGACCUCGCGCGACUGGAGCGGCCGAUAUCAGAUUAGGUAGUUGGUAGGGUAAAGGCCUACCAAGCCAACGAUCUGUAGCUGGUCUGAGAGGACGACCAGCCACACUGGAACUGAGACACGGUCCAGACUCCUACGGGAGGCAGCAGUGGGGAAUUUUGGACAAUGGGCGAAAGCCUGAUCCAGCCAUUCCGCGUGCAGGAUGAAGGCCCUCGGGUUGUAAACUGCUUUUGUACAGAACGAAAAGGUUUCUAUUAAUACUAGGAGCUCAUGACGGUACUGUAAGAAUAAGCACCGGCUAACUACGUG
rnacentral:rRNA from 1 species